rnacentral:rRNA from 1 species
GCAAGUCGGACGAUAAGCCACCUUCGGGUGGUGGACAGUGGCGCACGGGUGAGUAACACGUGGGGACCUGCCUGAUAGUAAGGAAAAACAGUUGGAAACGACUGCUAAUACCUUAUACGCCCUUCGGGGGAAAGAUUUAUCGCUAUCAGAUGGACCCGCGCUAGAUUAGAUAGUUGGUGAGGUAAUGGCUCACCAAGUCUGCGAUCUAUAGCUGGUUUGAGAAGAUGAUC